GUGCUUGCUUCAGCAGCACAUAUACUAAAAUUGGAAAUAUACAGAGAAGAUUGGUAUGGCCCCUGCACAAGGAAAAUAGGCAAGUGGGUUGAAGCCUAUAGCCAGCUCCUU